GGCAGCAUCCUCCUAUUUACCUGAAAGCUUGAAACACUUUGAUGGGCUUGUAAAUAAGCCAAUGGGUGAACUUGGGUCCGUGAGCUGACCAAUCAGAUUUACGUCUCCUCACAUCCCUUUUAGCGUCUGCAUCAGAAUGUAGGAGGCUGCCAUUAUUCACUCAAGCAAAAGAGAGCUGUGCCUGAAUCAGCUAUCGUCACGGAGUUAUAGGAUGUAAAAUGGUGGAGGAGGUGAAAAGGCUACGCAGGGGAGGCCCAGUCCACAGAGGGAUAUUGAAUCACAUCGAUUCUUCACAUCCCAGAGACUUCCAGGGUUUAGAGAUUCCCAGUUCAGGAUCGAGACUCUGAACGUAGACGGAUUUCCCUUGAUUCAUUCUUCAUGGUGGAAGGACAAACGGAAACCAAACUCAUAUGGGCCCCAAUGUUGAACAUCUCUGAACUCUUGUCAUCAAAGAACAAUUGAGCUCAUAGAACUGAAAAGGGU